UUACGCUCAAAUCACGUUGAAGCACCGUUUCUCGUACGUUCACCGAAGUUAAGCAACGACGAGCCUAGUUAGUAACAAGAUGGGUGACUGCUUGGAAAUAACAAGGG